GGCAUUGUGGCUCAGAGGUAGAGCUCUUGCCUAGCACGUGUGAGGCACUGGGUUCAACUCUUAACACUGCCU
rnacentral:tRNA from 1 species